CUAAAAAAAUCUCCCCGGUCAGCUCCAAUUUUCCUAAGGGGACUACGGGAGGAUCGGACAAGGACGGACAUUAUGCCAUCCCUCUACAGAAUCGGUUUUUUACCAUUCCCGUGAAUCCGGACCGAAUACGCUAUGUGACGGCCACGAGGAAAACUGAAAACCAUUUGAAAGGAGGAAUCAAAAUGCAGAAUUGGCGCUUCAACAGUCAAUCUUAUCUCCUCCCGCGGCGUGAAAAGGCACGGAAAAGCCUCUGCAAAUUCGCCUGUUCAUUGAGUUUCCAUUCUCCCAAUUAUUCACCAGCCUGCAUCUUUGAAGCGUAAAGCACCGGCUUCUAUCUAUUUGUGGAUGAACAAUGGUCAAGCUAGAUCGAGCACACACCACAAUCGAGACCACAACUUUUUAUGCGCUGUUGCAGGAUUAAAACAAGGUGGUCUGAAGAUUCCGUUCUGCUUGAUGAUGAAUAGACUGACACGUUCAUUAUGGCAUUCUUGUUGACUGGCAAGUAAAUGUGCAAUUCCAGAGACUAAUAUGGCAUUAUUAUCAUGAAGCUUUCAUUAAUUGCAUUGAUUGUCUCUGUAUCAGUGUCUGCAUAUGAUUUCUUAUUGGGGGAAAUUAUUUGAGAAUUCUGCUUGGUGACGGAUGGAUUUCUGCAUGCAAAUGAAAGUCUAUUUCCACUGGAAUGAUAACUCAAGAGUUUCUAGUUGACUGUACAUUAUUUGAAGUGGACCCUUUGAGGUUUACGUCAGCUUUAUUUUCUAUAGUUUAAGGUAUCUUAUCAAACUACUGGUGCUAAUGGAAAUUUAAACGAGUUAAAAUAUAAUUACUUGAGAAAGAGGUGAAUAUUUCUUUCAGGCCUUUUUAUAUGCAAAAUACAACAUGAAUUUGAUGGUUUCCCUUCUGAAGAACCAGGGAAACUUGAUUACUAUCAAGACAGCAAAAAAUAGCGAUUUGAUUAGUUCAGUAGGAGAGAACCGUCUUAUUUCCUAUUCAUGAGCUUUUUGUUAUCCCUGCAUUCCAAGCUUGGUUUCCUAUCACUUUUUUUCAUGUUUUCCUGUCAUUUCAUUAUCCAAGUUCUCUCUGGUUCUCUCAAGUUCUUCGUGCUCAAUAAAACUUUGUCCCCACUAUUGCAUUUAAGAAAAACCAGAUCUUUGUAUCUAUUCAAGGCAGAAGGUUAUUCUUCCUGCAGGUGACACUUUAGUUAUUCCCAGAGCUGGUAAAGUUUUUUGUAUAAUUUACAGCUUCUGAAGGUUCUACAAAUAAUAUUUUCUCCUGCCUUAAAAGUUCAUCUUUUUUGAGAAAAUCAUCUCUCAUUUCAUACCAGUAUUGUCUUUGAAUAUUUGUCCACAACUUCCAUGGCUUUCUUGCCAUCACUUAUUGUUCUUCAUGAAUUAUGUUAACUGUUAUGAUUAGAUAUCCUGUUGGAGUAUGUCUCUUGAUGCAGUGACGAUACUGUUGCAUUAUGCAUUAUGUUGUGUUGCUAAGUGCUAAGGUAGGAUCUAGGCUCGAAGACAGAAUGUAAUGACAGCGUAAUACUUGUUAUAUUUGAAGGAUAUUGUUUAACAUAACAAUGAAUAUUUUCCUGUCCUUCAGAACUUCUGCCAUGUAGCAUAUAUGUGCAAUUGAAUUCAAGUAUGGAGAAAUAGCGCUUGGAGUGUUUUUGACCGAAUCUUCAUUUUCAUAAUGCUUUGUUCGUCAAUACUCGAUAGGAAUUUGACAGCAACUUUGAACUAAGAAUGUCAUGGAUCAACUUUAAGGUAAAUUUGUUGGAGAUCAUCACUGUGGAGUUUGAGCAGGCACAAGAAUGCAUAAAAUUAGGUCAUUAUGCUGCUGAAGAUGGAUAGACAAAUAGCAGCUUAGGAGCUGUCAUAGUACUUGUUCUUUGUAAUAUUUAACGUUAUGUAGAAUUUAAAUUAAUGUGGAUUAAGGUGUUGAAGAUAUAUUUGAUUGAUAGUAAUUGUAAAUUAAUGUGGCACUAUCCUGUUUAGAAGAGACGAGUAUCCAUUUAUCCAAUAUUAAUUAGUUAUAAUAAUGAUGGCUAUUUUACUUUGCAAGGAAAAAUUUUAUGGAAGAAUAUUGGGUAAAAGAGAUUUUGGCGGUCACAAGAAAAUAUAAUUUUUGAUAAAUCAACAUGGCACUUUCCCAAAUUUUAUGGUUGAAUCGGCUUGGCUUUACUAAAUUUUCCUGCAUCAUAUUUCCUUUUCAUAAUCCUCUCCACAUGUUGUAACAUCGACAAACUAUUUUAUUCCAUUUGCAGAGCAUGAAUCAGUUAGUUUAAUGUGCAGAAUGCACACUUGGUAAAUGUGGGAAAGAAAUAUUGAGGGAGUGUUAGCUAGAAUUCUGUAUAAGUUUAGAAUGAAAACAAUUGAUCAUGUCUAAAUUUGAAAAUUUUAGGUUUGAGAUGAUAAGAAACUCCUAUCUCUUGUAUCUGGAGAAAGACAUUGAUGACAGAAAUAUAUUCUUUCCUGGGUUAUAUGCUAAAUUUGGUGUCAUUUGACCAUCUUGCUGCCAAGUAAUUUUCACUGAGCUCUAAUGUGCAAGGAUAAUACCAGUUAGAAACAAUACUGAAGAUGAUGUUGUUAUCAGCAGGGCAUUAAUAAUGAGUAAUAUGUAAACAAACGACUUUUCUUCUCAAGUCAGUUAAAUGCUUGAUCUUCUGGAAUAUCAGACAAAAUUGGAGAAGUUCACUCUUUUGUUUUCUUCUGUUCUGUUUUUAUCAUCCCCACUUUUGGCCCCAAAUCGUUUUGUUUGUUUGUUCAACUCACCUGCUGUAUUCAUGAGAUGCUUCUCUAUAAUAUGCUUUGGGUGCUGGUGAGGGGCUGCUCAUGUCUUCUCUUUCCCCAGCACCAGUUAUAUAUGCUACCCAGAUUUUUAUUAAUUCAUUGCAGGGUAAAACUGCUGUUUUCUUUUUCUUGCCUUUCGUUCUCACCCUUCAAAAGUUAAACGGAAAUUCUUACCUGAAAAUUGGGGAGAUUGAUCAAACGACGAAGAUACAUGCAUGUCAAUUUACUUUCUGAGUGGUUUCUUUUGUUCCCUGUGAAGAGUAGGAUAUCUUAUUGGUUUCUAAAUCUGUUGUUUUUGUAUGACCUUUCCUGGAAUCAGUUCUAACAGAAAUGUUAUAUAACCAUUUUUAUGA